CCUCCAUACUCCUACGGGAGGCAUCAUUGAGGAAUAUUGGUCAAUGGUCGGUAUACUUAACCAGCCACUCCUCGUGAGGUAUUCAUGUACAGAGUCUCUUAAACCUCUUUUUUCAGGGAACCCAUUCUGGGACGUUUCCCCUGAUGAGUUUCCCUUAAGAAAAAUCAUCUGCUAACUCCUUUCCAGCAGCCUCUUUAAUACGGAGUAUUCUAGCGUUAUCCGGAUUUAUUGGGUUUAAAGGGUGCGCAGGAGGAGGUGCAAGUACGAGGUCAAAUUGCGGGGAUCAACCCCGUACUGCCGUUGAAACUGCAUCCCUUGAGUGCGCGAGAAGUAUGCGGAAUGCGUGGUGUAGCGGUGAAAUGCAUAGAGAUAAAGCAGAACUCCGAUUGCGAAGGCAGAAUACCGGCGCGCAACUGACGCUCAUGCACGAAAGCGUGGGUAUCGAACAGGAUUAGAUACCCGCGUAC
rnacentral:rRNA from 1 species